GCCGUACCCAAUUACCCACCCCCACCUAUGAUUCCCCAAUCGGAAAGGGAGAAUCUGAUACUGGAGAGAACGAACAGGGCAAUAUGCAGGGCUUGGCAAUAGAGAAUGAGAACUACGCUUUGGAGUUGGGGAGCUAUGCGCUGCAGCCUGGAGUCCUAGAGCUGGGGUGGUAUUUAUACUUUGGACAAAUCCAUCCCUUGACAGAAGAUAAUGAACGACAAUAAAACUCAACAGAUCCUUUGGAAGCCAAGGGAAAAUUAUGUUUUCACUAGUGAAAGUGAAAGAAGCUGAAGUCGAUUAGUGGAACUUUGCAUUCAUUCAACAUGUGCAAGACGUUCGCUGAGAAUAGCUGUUGUGUCUUGUGUAUCAAGUGAUUGGGUGGGUUGGUUAGGAGCAUUGUAACAGUAGCGUCAUUCUAGGGAAAUUAGCUAUAUUAGCAGUGUUCUCAAUAUUAAGAAGUUGUUUUGUAAUUCUUAUUUCUUUCUCUUUCUUCUUCUUGAAUUCUCCCUAAUCUCUCCGUUUUCUCUGAAUUUCUCCCAUUUCUGUUUUUGGCUCUAUCAAGUGGUAUCGUUCCUUGGCCAUGGUAGUGGAAACCCGCUCACAACAGUGGAGAAAGGAGAUAGUUUCCAUGAUUUUGGAAUCUGAGCAUCAUCAAGAAGCUCGAUUGCAAAACAUGGUUACUAAAAUAAAAAAAUUGAUUGAGGGUUUGGGGCUUCUGAGUAUAGAAGCAGUGGAAAAGAAAAGUAGAGGUGAGACAGUCCGAGAGGAAGAACCCAGUUCAUGGGGAAAUACUGCAAGAUUAUAAUUUCCUAGGUUUAGUGGUGAAGGACCGGAAGGUUGGUUACUUAAGAGUAGAGUGUUUCUUUGAGAUAGGAAGGGUAGCACCUGAGAGUGGGUGAAGAUAGCCGCCUUGCAUUUGGAAGGCAAAGCGAUUCAGCGGCAUCAAAGUUUUGAGAGGGUGAAUGGAAAUAAAGUGUAUGAACAGUGGGAUGAGUAUGUGAAUGCUCUGGAUGCCAGGUUUGGAAGUCAUGCUUUUGAUGAUCCCAUACUACAAUUGAAGGAGGUUAUUGAUGAAGAGGAAUUAGAUGUAAUAGUGGAAGCUGAGGUUGUUGCUGAAACUGAAAUGCAAGAGGGUCUUAAAAUUGAGAUGUAAGAGAGUCAGCCGUUUUUGAAUGCCAUUUGGGGCAUUGGCAAUAACCGAACUGUGAUGUUGAGAGGUACUCAUGGAAAGAGAACAUCACAUGCUCUUAUUGAUACAGGUACCAUUCCUAACUUUUUUUGAGUGAGAGAUCGAUUGAUAAGUUGUAACGUACAGGAGCCAAGGUGAAGAGCAUUUGGAUUGAAGUGGCAAAUGGCCAGGAAUUAAGAUGUGAUUCCUUAUGCAAAGGGUUUCAGUGGAUUAUGCAGAAGUCUUUUCAAGCAGAUGUUUAUAUGUUGCCAUUGGGAAGUUAUGAUCUUAUUUUAGGGAAGGACGAUAUUAAGUGGAAUUUUGCUAAUUUGACGAUGAGUUUUACAUUGUAGGGUAUUCAUCACAUAUUGCAAGUUGUGAUAUUUUUUGAAGAAAUAAAAUGUACAAGAGGGUGCUGGAAUUUCAGGGGUAGUGUCUUUUAGCUGAGGUCUUGUAAUCACAUAAUGCUCAAAGAGAAUUGAGUAUGAAAUUGGGAGAAGACAGAGGAAGAAAAUAUACGUCCUGUCAACAACACAGAGUUCCUUAAGGACAAGGAACCUUUCAAGGGGAAGGUAUUGAUACGAUGUCAAUUAAUGGAAUUGUGCAUUUCAUUCAGCAUGUGCAAGACGUGCGCAGAGAAUGGCUAUUGUGUCAAGUGGUUGGGUUGGUUAGGAGUAUUGUAACAACAAUGUCAAUAUUAGCUGUGUUCUCGGUAUUGAGAAGUUGUUCUCUAAUUCUUGAUUCUGAUGAAUAAGAU
rnacentral:misc_RNA from 1 species